ensembl:lncRNA
GCUAGCAGCUCUGUAGGUGGACAGUUUCAUUUUUGGGCUAAUGUAAAAAUUCUUGCUGAUGUUUCCUGUUGUUUAGAAGUUGAUGCUGCUCACAGAUAAACAUGACUAUUUUCAGCCUUUAGUCAGCUUUUGCUGCCAGAAUUUUCCUGAUGUGAUGAAACGCUGAAAACAUCUGGAGUUGGUGAAGACCAGUGUUGGAUCAGAGAUGGAGAAGGCCUUACCAGUGCAGCUGCUGGAAAUGUUGAACAAUUUGGGAGAGGAGGAGCUGAAGCUUUUCCACUUUUACCUGAAGUAUGAACCUGGAGGUGAUUUCCCAACCAUCUAUAAGUGCCAGCUGGAGAACGCAGACAGACUGAAAACAGUAGAUGUGAUGAUUAAGGCAUAUUCAGACCGUGUGAUGGAGGUGGCAAGGUUGAUUUUAGAGAAGAUGAAUGAAGGAAGUCCCUCAGCCCAGGCAGCUUCAUCACUUUCAUCAGAAGUCCCCCAGGUGGAGGUGGAUUCAGGGGUGGAGUCUGUCCAGCUACCCUGCAAAACCACACUUCACCUGCCUCAAGAAGCCAAAGUUGAGUGGACAGACAGAAACCACAUGAAGGUCCACGUGUAUGAGAACAGAUUUGACCAGCCUGAAGAACAGGAUGGUCGUUACAGGGACCGAACGAAGAUGAAUGAAGACCUGCUGAAAACUGGAGACCUCAGUCUGACCCUGAAAUACCCCACAGAUGGAGACAACCACACCUACACUUGCACCGUCUACAGCAGGGAGGGAAACAUCCUGAUGAAGAAACAAGUGGAGCUGAAAGUCAGAGACUGUCAGGUGGAGGUGAAGGAGGGGGCGGAGUCUGUCCAGCUGCCCUUCAAGGCCACACACAACCUGCCCGAAAAUGCUACAAUAGUGUGGGAACGUACUGAAUCUAAACGAUCGAUGAUGGUCCACGUGUAUGAGAACGGCUCCGACGAGCCUCACAGACAGGACCAGGUUUACAGAGACCGAACGAAGAUGAAUGAAGACCUGCUGAAAACUGGAGACCUCAGUCUGACCCUGAAACACCCCACAGAGAGAGACAGUGGAAGAUACAUCUGUGGAGUCUACAGCAGGACGAUCUACAGACAGAAUGCUGUGCUGCUCAAAGUCACAGGGAGAGUUCAGGUCCAGGAUCAAACAGGGGACAUCAGGAACAGAAGCAGCUCCAUUGAUCCGACUCCUCUGAUGGCUGAUCAAUCAGUUUGAUCUGUGUGUUCUUUGAUUAUUGAUCAGUGAUGUCAGAGUGGAGUCAGUGUGAUGUUGUUGUUGUGUGUUUGAGACUUUUAGUGUCCAUGAAGGUCUCUGCUGCCGUAGAUCCUCUGAACUGUGACAGAGGUCUCACUCUGGAGGAAACUCUCAGCACUUUCCAGCAGCUCCUCCAUCAUGGAGGACGUUCCCUCACUGUAACAGGUGGAGGAGAGAGGAGAGGAAGCACAGGUGGAUCCUCUGAGGAAGAGGAGCGUUCCUACAAACCACAUGAGUGUAACAGUUGUAUGUAUUAAAGUAUGUUGAGCUGAUGUAUUUAGAGCCAUGAAUGUUUCUCUCUGUCCGAUUAGAUCACCAUGUUAACUGAUGCUGACUAUCACCUGUUGUGGAGACAUUUUGGAUUUUUUUCACUUGCAGAUUUAAGGCAGGUUUAAGAACUGUUGUUUUUGUAAAGUGAAAUAAGACUGAUGCGCCUCCAUAAGACACUGUAGAGGGUUUCUGGGGCAGUGACAUGAACACUUUGUCGUUAUUUAUACUGCCAUGUUUUCCUGUAACACAAACCACAGCACGCUGAAUAUGAAUAAACUGCAUCUGUG